AUUGAACGCUGGCGGCAGGCCUAACACAUGCAAGUCGAGCGGAGCGGGGGACGGGUGAGUGAUGCCUAUGAAUCUGCCUGUUGGUUGGGGAUAACGUUCGGAAACGGGCGCUAAUACCACAUACUAAUGAAUUAGGCUCGGUCGGAUUAGCUAGUUGGUGGGGUAAAGGCCUACCAAGGCGACGAUCCGUAGCUGGUCUGAGAGGAUGAUCAGUCACACUGGAACUGAGACACGGUCCAGACUCCUACGGGAGGCAGCAGUGGGGAAUAUUGGACAAUGGGCGAAAGCCUGAUCCAGCCAUGCCGCGUGUGUGAAGAAGGUCUUCGGAUUGUAAAGCACUUUAAGUUGGGAGGCGUUACCAACAGAAUAAGCACCGGCUAACUCCGUGCCAGCAGCCGCGGUAAUAC
rnacentral:rRNA from 1 species